rnacentral:lncRNA from 10 species
UGCUCACCACCCCUCACCAACCAGGUGUGAGGGUAAAUCUGGCCCCCGUUCCUCCAUCUUGGCUGGAAGUGGAAGUCCCGGUGGAUAUUUUUGAGCCCCUGAUGUAUGCCAGGCACUGCUGUAAGCACUGAGUAUUCAAAGAUGAACAAAAUGAUGUGGCCCCAGUCUCCUAAAAUUUACUAUCAAGAGAAGAAGACAACAGGAAUGAAUGAGAGUUCCUGCUGCUCAACAUUCUUGCCAGCAUUUGGUAUCGUCAGUGUUCCAGAUUUGGGACCAUUCUAAUAGGAUCAUGCUUCUGUGGUUCAGUUGUACCUCCCUCCACGAUGACAUCAUACAACUCCAGGAAAACUAAUCUUAGGUCAAUGAUGGACAAUGAACGCCAAACGAACUUGAGAAGUGGUUGCUGAAAGGCGCUGAUGUUUCCACGUGAGAUUUCUGGGUCACCCUCCUGGUGACUCUUGUGCCUCUGACUUCUAUCUGAUCCUAAGUCCCUGUGCAUUAAAAUACAAGCAAUUGGCUGGAUGCGGUGGCUCAUGCCUGUAACCCCAGCACUUUGGGAGGCCCAGGCGAGUGGAUUACCUGAGGUCAGGAGUUUGAGACCAGCCUGGCCAACAUGGUGAAACUCUGUCUCUACUAAAAAUACAAAAAUUAACUGGGCGUGGUGGCAGGUGCCUGUAAUCUCAGCUACUCGGGAGGCUGAGGCAGGAGAAUUGCUGGACCCCAGGAGGCGGAGGUUGCAGUGAGCCAAGAUCAUGCCAUUGCACUCCAGCUCGGUGACAAUAGCCAGACCCCGUCUCAACAACAACAACAACAGCAACAACAAUAACAACAACAACAAAACACAAGCGAUUGUAUGCUAUAGGAAGAUAAUUCUGGAGUUUAAUUGCUUUAGACUAGAAGAUGAAUGGAUAUGCACAUGUUCAAAAUAUCAAAAAAAUGUUUUUUGGGCACUGACUUUGAGAACAUUAUUGCUCUAGAUGCCAGGGAACGAGCAGUGAGGCAAACUGAAGGGGAGACAGACAGCAAAAAUCAUUAGUGUGAGGGCAGAAGAAAGACUCCCCAAGAUGUCCAUGUCCUCAUCACCAGAACCUGUGAUUACAUGAUGUUACAUAGCAAAGAGAAACUAAGGUAGCAGAUAGAAUUAAGGUGGCUAAUCAGAUGACUCUAAGAAUGUGCAAAUACAUAAUGUGAGGUAGUGAGAGUGUCAAAGACUGAGUAACACCAACUUGAGACUUCGUUUUACAUAAUGAGAAAGAUUGCAGACAAUUGAAAGGGAGAGGAUUUUCCCAUUUUGUGUAUCUGUGUUUUAGCGCUUUGCUUGUGUCCCACCUAAAACAAUUAGCAUCGCUGGGACCAGUGGGGAAACACGGGGUGUCCUCAUUACCAGAACCUGUGAUUACAUGAUGUUACAUAGCAAAGAGGAAUUAAGGUAGCAGAUGGAAUUAAGGUGGCUAAUCAGAAGACUUUGGGUAGUGAGAGGGUUAUCCAGUUGAACCCAAAGGGAGCACAGGGCACUUAACUGUGGAAGAGGAAGGAAGAAGCAUGAGGGUCAGAGAAAUGGUCCUGUGAGAGGUAUUCGACCAGUCACUACUGGCUUUGAAGAUAGAAGGGAACUGAGAGCCAGGGGUACAGGUGACCUCUAAAAACUGGAAAAGACAAGAUGGCUCCUCCUCAAGUAACCAUAGAAAGGAGCACAGCACCUUGAUUUUAUCCCAGUGACACACAUGUUAGACUUCUGACCUCCAGAAUUGUAAGAUAAUAAAUUUGUGUUGAUUUAAGCCACU